CCAGGAAAAAGAGAGCGGGGCGGCGCUUUGGAAAGCGAAAGCGCUUUCCCGGCAUCUGAGGCUAGGCUUGGCUUGGCUGGGCGCAGAUAGCGGAGCGUGUUUGGUGGAUUGAGAAGGACUCUUUGCGGAUCAGGAGGCGCCUUUCCCGACCCGGCGGAGGAGACUGUCAAAAGAUUCACCCUGGGGCGCAAAUCACGCAAAAAGGGCUUUAAGUGCCCUGCCUGUAACAAGCCACAAAAUGCAUCAAACAACUUCUGCAGUAACUGUGGAAAGAGGCUCAUUCCUCCUGCCACCACACAAAAGAAGAGAGAUGCAAACCUGUCCUCAGAUUUGGGGACAGAGCCAGGAGGAGAAUUAAAUGUGGAAGGUUUUCCUUCUUUGGGACCAUUGUUUGAGGAACACCCACCCACUAAACAAGCACGGAGGGAGACAGACCAAUCCCUACCAGAGAGCCUUGAGAGUGAGGCCUCAUUCUCACAGGAAAAA